GCGCAAGCCUGAUGCAGCGACGCCGCGUGAGGGAUGACGGCCUUCGGGUUGUAAACCUCUUUCACCAGGGACGAAGCGCGAGUGACGGUACCUGGAGAAGAAGCACCGGCCAACUACGUGCCAGCAGCCGCGGUAAUACGUAGGGUGCGAGCGUUGUCCGGAAUUACUGGGCGUAAAGAGCUCGUAGGCGGUUUGUCGCGUCGUCUGUGAAAUUCUGCAACUCAAUUGCAGGCGUGCAGGCGAUACGGGCAGACUUGAGUACUACAGGGGAGACUGGAAUUCCUGGUGUAGCGGUGAAAUGCGCAGAUAUCAGGAGGAACACCGGUGGCGAAGGCGGGUCUCUGGGUAGUAACUGACGCUGAGGAGCGAAAGCGUGGGUAGCGAACAGGAUUAGAUACCCUGGUAGUCCACGCCGUAAACGGUGGGUACUAGGUGUGGGUUCCUUUUCACGGGAUCCGUGCCGUAGCUAACGCAUUAAGUACCCCGCCUG
rnacentral:rRNA from 1 species